AUAGUACCUGACAGGGGAGACACNAUGAUUAUGAAGGUGGUUUUCCCAGGAUGAGGCUCAUUCAUUGUACUCUGGGUGUGCUGACCCCUGAGAUUUCCCCAAAUGCAAGAAACUCGACUGCAUAAUUUGGGGGGGGGGGCAACCUA
rnacentral:snRNA from 1 species